UACGUAGGGUGCAAGCGUUGUCCGGAAUUAUUGGGCGUAAAGAGCUCGUAGGCGGUUUGUCGCGUCUGCUGUGAAAACUCGGGGCUUAACUCCGGGCCUGCAGUGGGUACGGGCAGACUAGAGUGCGGUAGGGGAGACUGGAAUUCCUGGUGUAGCGGUGAAAUGCGCAGAUAUCAGGAGGAACACCGGUGGCGAAGGCGGCUCUCUGGGACGGUACUGACGCUGAGACGCGAAAGCGUGGGGAGCGAACAGG
rnacentral:rRNA from 1 species